AGUGAUGCAGAGUAAAACUCAAAAAACGGUACUCAGUUCGGAUUGAAGGCUGAAAUUCGCCUUCAUGAAGCUGGAAUUGCUAGUAAUGGCAGGUCAGCAUACUGCCGUGAAUACGUUCCCGGGCCUUGUACACACCGCCCGUCACACCAUGAGAGUUGGAAAUACCCGAAGCCUGUGAGCUAACUUAAAGAGGCGGCAGUCGAAGGUAGAGCCAAUGAUUGGGGUGAAGUCGUAACAAGGUAAC
rnacentral:rRNA from 1 species